rnacentral:rRNA from 1 species
UACGAGAAGGGCAAGUGUUACUCAUCUUUAAUAGGCGUAAAGCGUGCGCAGACGGCUAUAAGUAGAUUUAAAUAAAAGUUCAAACUAUAUUUGAAAUUAAUUUAAAUAAUUAAAUAGCUAUAGUAAAAAAGAAAAUAAUGGAAUUUCUAAUGUAAAGAUGAAAUUUUUAAAUAUUGGAAGGAAGGCCAGUGGUGUAGACGAUUAUUUACUAAUUACUGAAGUUAUAGCACUAAGGUAUAGGGAGCAAAGAGG